AGGAAUAUUUCCAGUUGCUUGUUAAAUCUACUCCAUGAAGGAUUAAGGCUGUUCUGACGGCAAAAGGGUUCCAACCCGGUAAGGUGUAUCUAUUAAAGUGGCCGCAGGAGGCGCUUCAGAGACACUGCUGAUCCUCCCACAGCAAAAACAGGAUGGUAAACUAAAGAUUUCAGCCCUCUCUGGCAUCUGGAUUAUAUUUGAGUGUGUGGUUUCAGUGAGUCAUGCGGAAACACUGCGCUUUCACCUCUCUCACACUCGCUGUAUGAGACACCAACUCAACAUCAUCUCUACUGUUAGCUAGACGACACACAGCACAGUGACGUUACAGUGAAUGUGAAGAUGCUCCAGUUCCUGUCGUUAGAUGUGAUCAGGUCUCAUUACACCACUGGAGCAUUGGAGAUUCUGCUCAAAUUACCUGUCAAGUCAUAAGUUGUGAAAAAUGGAAAAUAUAUUUUGACAAACA